GAUCAUUGGUAUCGUAGUAGCGCGCGGAGACCAUCGACAUCAAUUAUAUUCAAAUUGUACGUUGCUACUUAAUUGCCGGCCAUGGACAAGAAAUCGAGUUGCUAGGAACCUGCCUGGGAUGGACUGUAUUCUAAUCUUAUCCCUUGAUACUAAAUCUUAUCUCAUAGUAAGUGCUAGCAUCAUAUAAAAGGCGAGCUGGCAAGGAAGGAGAAGACAACCUCUCUGUAAGAAUCAAUACCUACCCCAUGGAGAAGCUCUCUUCUCGUCGCUAUUCCCGGCCGGCGAUGUCCCUGCUGAUCAUCGUGGCCAUCACUAUCUCCUGCUCCGUCGUCCACAGUUCGGAGGCUCCAGCCCAAGAAGCAGCAGUACCUCGUCUGGACGGAGACCAUCAGGGCCAAGCGCCGCCGCCACCGGAUGCCGGCAAACCUCGACAGCCACAGCCGCCGUGCUGUCUUCGGCACGGCGCUUAACGUCCUAAAAUGGACAGGGAGGACGGAGGAUACUUAAGAUCAACCAGGCCGCGACGACAAUAAGUUUUUAAAUUUUAUUAGGACUAGUUUAGGAACCCUAUUUUUUUAAUGGAUUUUUAUUUUAUCAAAAAAAAUUGGGUUCCCAAACUAGUUCUUAACAAUACAAACAUAAGAGAAUCCGUACACCAUUCGUGUCAAAUUAUAAGUAAUAUAGGUCGGGGUGCAUAACUGAGAUAAUUUGGUUCAUUUAUCAUUUGUGGUCCUACGAGUUCAACCGUGUGUUUGGUUUUUCAAGGUAACACCACUGCCACUCA